UACGUAGGGUGCAAGCGUUGUCCGGAAUUAUUGGGCGUAAAGAGCUUGUAGGCGGUUUGUCGCGUCUGCUGUGAAAUUUCGGGGCUCAACCCCGAACUUGCAGUGGAUACGGGCAGGCUAGAGUUCGGUAGGGGGAGACUGGAAUUCCUGGUGUAGCGGUGAAAUGCGCAGAUAUCAGGAGGAACACCGGUGGCGAAGGCGGGUCUCUGGGCCGAUACUGACGCUGAGGAGCGAAAGCGUGGGGAGCGAACAGG
rnacentral:rRNA from 1 species